GAAUAUUGGUCAAUGGACGAGAGUCUGAACCAGCCAAGUAGCGUGAAGGAUGACUGCCCUAUGGGUUGUAAACUUCUUUUAUACGGGAAUAAAGUGAGCCACGUGUGGCUUUUUGUAUGUACCGUAUGAAUAAGGAUCGGCUAACUCCGUGCCAGCAGCCGCGGUAAUACGGAGGAUCCGAGCGUUAUCCGGAUUUAUUGGGUUUAAAGGGAGCGUAGGCGGGUUGUUAAGUCAGUUGUGAAAGUUUGCGGCUCAACCGUAAAAUUGCAGUUGAUACUGGCGACCUUGAGUGCAACAGAGGUAGGCGGAAUUCGUGGUGUAGCGGUGAAAUGCUUAGAUAUCACGAAGAACUCCGAUUGCGAAGGCAGCUUACUGGAUUGUAACUGACGCUGAUGCUCGAAAGUGUGGGUAUCAAACAGGAUUAGAUACCCUGGUAGUCCACACAGUAAACGAUGACUACUCGCUGUUGGCGAUAUACAGUCAGCGGCCAAGCGAAAGCAUUAAGUAUUCCACCUGGGGAGUACGCCGGCAACGGUGAAACUCAAAGGAAUUGACGGGGGCCCGCACAAGCGGAGGAACAUGUGGUUUAAUUCGAUGAUACGCGAGGAACCUUACCCGGGCUUAAAUUGCAACUGACUGAACCGGAAACGGUUCUUUCUUCGGACAGUUGUGAAGGUGCUGCAUGGUUGUCGUCAGCUCGUGCCGUGAGGUGUCGGCUUAAGUGCCAUAACGAGCGCAACCCUUAUCGAUAGUUACUAGCAGGUCAUGCUGAGGACUCUAUUGAGACUGCCGUCGUAAGAUGUGAGGAAGGUGG
rnacentral:rRNA from 1 species